UUCCAGGAGAGGGCACUCACCAGCUGCGGGGCAUUACCGAUCAGUGGCAGCUGCAGAUCCUCUAAUCAACCGCAGCAGAGCUCUAUUUAAGAGGAGAGGGAACCACUUCACAUCGCUGGAUGAUUAACUACUCACGGAUACUUGGAAUCUCUGAACCAUUGUUGGAUGUACCUACCUGGAAGUCACCAUAACCCGCCUGGAUUACAAUUCUCAAGGUUCGCCUCUCCUCCUUCUCCACUGCCCUCUGCCGCCAUCAUCUGGCUCCCUCUCCUGGACACCCCGUCACACCGUCUGCCCUCCCUGCUGGCUUCUGGACUCGUGCCGGCUUCGUUGUACUUGGAUAUUUCCAGGACACUUUUAGUUAGGUUAAUAAAUCAUUGUUUGAACUUUCUUCUUUGUCAUGUGAUGAUUCUUCAUGUCGUGGGUUAAACACCAUCCCAGGGACAUGACACUGGACCAGUGGAGAAGGAAUGGACAAAGCAGAGAGGGCCGGUCAGGGGUGAAACAGGUCCACUCCCUGGAUGUGCUAAGAGUGCAAGAAAGAGUUUGUCUGCAGCAGGACAAGAACCGCUCUGCAGAAGAGCACAGCAGCUAAAAGCUCCUGAACAUUGACGGACAUUAUCACCUGAAACUCAGACACUGAAAGUUGUUCAUAUGAAAAAUCAAUACCAGGUUAGGUUUGAUUUCUGCUACUUCAGAUUUUUUGUUCAUGAACAUUUUCUUUUUAUACUUUUCUGAAGAAAAAUAAUAUCUGUUUUUUUUCUGCUAUUAUUGUUUUGGUUUAAAAUGCCAAUUAUAAACUACGCACUAGCUUUAAAUUUUAAUAGCUCAAUAAAACCAGUUAUAAUUAAAAUAAUUAAUCUCAGCCCAUCAGAAAAACUGUGAUCUUGACCUCUGUCUUGAUACAGGAGUCUUUAAUGAAUUGUUGUCAUACUUGUUAACAUGUAGCCCCUUUAUUAUGGUAUGUGUGAUGUUAACACCCCUCCCAGGGUGGAGGUCUGCACUCUGACUGCUUUCUAGUUUUUGUUACUCAUCUUUCUGGAGUGUUUAAUUUUAAUACAGUACCAUGUUUUGCUUGC